GCCGCCGUCGAAUCCGGCACCUCGCCGCCAACAACCAUGAGUCGUGAGGAGGAGGCGGGUCACGGGGAGGACUUCGGCACGACACCGUCUACUCCGCCACAAUGUCGCCGGCAAUCUCGACGAGGAGGCGCAACGCGGGGAGGGUUGCACAAGGCCCCCCUCCACUUCGCCAUGCCGUGAAAAGAGGUCCGUGGAACCCGAUCGCCUCGGCAUAUCCUCCACGAGCUGAGCGCUCCGACCAUGGCGCCAUCUCGAUGGCGGCUCUCCUACAGAUCCAGGAGGAAAAGUUCCUUUAUGGAGGCCUUAAGCAGGAGCCACAAGCCUGUGGUGCAUCUUCAGGCGGAGGAUGGAAACGGCCUGCCUGUGGGCGACACGGCCAUGUAUGCACACAUCGCCGUCAAGGAGGAUGAUGUCACAUUGCUUGAGGAGAUCAUCCGGCGGGGAUGUGACCGCUGCGUGUUGCGGCGAUAGCUGCACAACGUAGUCCAGGACGACAACAUCCGGAUUAUUAGAGAAGAUUGGUUGCGACAUCUAGCUUAUUCCAAGGAUGAGGGCUGCCAUUGUACUCAGCAGUGGUCAAGGGGCACACCUGAAUUGGCCAUGCUGCACCGAGCUGAAUGCCAUGACCUGGCCAUGAUGGUGAACCAAGUUGUCCGCCUUCCAGAACUGUGGAUUUGGCGUCAAGGAAAUCUCUUGAAGAACAACAUGGUACAUAAUGUGAGCAUCCCAACUGCAUUUGCCAUCCUCAUAUCAGUUUGGCUGGUCUAAUGGAGGAAGAGUCAAGAGUAUGUGUGCUUCUUCACUGGCAGAAUGGUGUAUCAACUGUGUUGAUCUUCUACUUCAUUGAGUGCCUUUUUAGACAUCUGAUAUGUAAAUUAUGGUUCUCCCAUCAUAAGCUUCUGCUAGAGUAAGGAUACAGUUUAUCAGUUCCUACGUAGAAACAAAUUCUGGCCUACCGAUUAUAUAUUUCGUUCCAUACAAACAUACUAUACAAAAGAUGGAAGUACAUUAUUCUUUGGCUGAA